GCCACGCCAGUGCUCAAAACCCCCGGCAGUUUCAGUGUCCUGUGCGUCGUCUUCGCCAUUUCCGGCUCGCGGUCGUGCGUAUCACAGCUUUAGUCUAUGGGUGCAUGUGUGCGCUUAAUUUCCAGCUAGCGUCCGUUCGAAGGACGCACCGUUUCAGUGAUCCAUUAGUGGUUUGAGAAGUGUGCAAGCAAAGCAAUAAGGGCACCGUUUGAAUCUCGAUCACCACGUGCAGUUUGUGGAAUUGUGGUUCGACCGAACGGCACCAAAGGAAGCGUGAAAGCGUGGUUUCAGCUUUACCCCAGAAGCAACAGGAAACCCGAGCGAGAAGGUGAAAACAAAAAGAAAAAAGAAAUAAAAAAAUUCUCCCACCCGCUGCCCUCCGGGGCGGUGAACGCGAGCGAAGGGAAAUAAUUCAUUUAUCACACGCAAACCCCAAAACCUCGUGAAUCGUGAAAUACCGGCCAGGAAAACAAAAGCAUUACCGUCGGAUCCGUGCCCCGAAGGUAGCGGAGCUUUCCAACCGGAAGGACACCGCCGAGUUUUAUCCUGCAUUAUUAUCCAUUCUGGGCGCUUUUUUUUGUUCGCUGUUGCUUUAAUUGGAUUAAAAACACUCGGCCCAGACUCUUCCUAUCUUUCGCUCCAUCGAAGCCGCAGAGUGGUCAAAGGCAUCGUGCUGCGGCAAAAGCAUCAGAAGCGCACCAGGAGCUUACCACCCGGCGUGGGACCAGAUGCUGGCCUCGGAAAUCGGAAUCCUGUAGCAGGACGGCACGUGGCCUGGCACUGAGCAUAAAACCACCAGCCGCUCGAAGCCGCACCCAGCAAGCUGCCUUCUCGGUGUGUGGGCGUGGGAACGUGCUGAUUAUGGUUCUUUGUGCCGCUCGAAAGGACCGCAAGUGUGCAUCGGGCGUAAACUAGCGUGUGGGUGUACAGUGUACAUGGAGUUUUCCUCGUAUUCCGCGCACCGUACCGGCUAGAGGGAGAGUUUUUCCCCAAAACGCAAACACACAUACGGCAUCGCAGCACGGGAUACGACGAGUGAUGACCACCGGCCAAGCGUGAGACGUGGAAACGUGCUCCUCGCCCCUUCUAGUGAAGGUGGAUUUUUUGAGGCGGAUGAUGAAAAGCGCAUCGGAGGAAAAACUCACCCCUGGCUGAGCGGCUCGGAUGAAACGAGCGGAUGAAAAAGUGACCAACUGAUCCUGUGCGAGUGCAAGUGCAAGAGCCGAGUGGUUGUGUUUCGUACGUGAGCGAUCAGUGCGUGGGUCAGUACCGUAGCGUGGAAUAAGUAAGACCUGACAGUGUGUGUGCGUGCGUGUGUGUGUGGGAAAUAAAAAAACGCCCUCUCUUCAUCGGCGAGCAUUCGAGUUACAGGGUUUUUGAAACGGUUCGCUUUCGUCGUGUAUCCUUCUCCCGUCCCGUUUGAGCCCUGCGUUCCUGAAAGGGCGCCUGCCGACACGGAUUUUCAAUGGUGAAUCUCGUCGAGCGGGCCACCACAGACACGACGACGACGGCGACGACGACGACGCCACCAACUCCAUCGACGGCGUCGACCGAUGUGAGCAGUUUGCAGACCUCCAUCUUUCCCUCGACAGUGCCAACGGCUGCCGGUUCGAACGACGCUACCGACCAGCGGUUUCCAUUGUUUCUGGACCAGCAGGCUGGCUACACCGCGACCGAUUCCGACAACGACGAGCGCUCAUCCGCCGCCGGUCUCGACAACGACGCCGACGGCAC